rnacentral:rRNA from 1 species
GACAGAGGUGCCGAGCGUUAGGCGGAAUCACUGGGCUUAAAGCGUGUGUAGGCGGAUCUGUAAGUACCUUGUGAAAUCCCACGGCUCAACCGUGGAACUGCUCGGUAUACUGGGUAUCUUGAGCCACUUAGGGGCGACCGGAACAAAUGGUGGAGCGGUGAAAUGCGCAGAUAUCAGGAAGAACACCCGUGGCGAAGGCGGCUCUCUGGAACGCAACUGACGCUGAGACGCGAAAGCGUGGGGAGCAAACAGG